rnacentral:rRNA from 1 species
GACGAACGCUGUCGGCGUGCUUAACACAUGCAAGUCGAACGGAAAGGCCCUGCUUUUGUGGGGUGCUCGAGUGGCGAACGGGUGAGUAACACGUGAGUAACCUGCCCUUGACUUUGGGAUAACUUCAGGAAACUGGGGCUAAUACCGGAUAGGAGCUCCUGCUGCAUGGUGGGGGUUGGAAAGUUUCGGCGGUUGGGGAUGGACUCGCGGCUUAUCAGCUUGUUGGUGGGGUAGUGGCUUACCAAGGCUUUGACGGGUAGCCGGCCUGAGAGGGUGACCUGCCACAUUGGGACUGAGAUACGGCCCAGACUCCUACGGGAGGCAGCAGUGGGGAAUAUUGCACAAUGGGCGGAAGCCUGAUGCAGCAACGCCGCGUGCGGGAUGACGGCCUUCGGGUUGUAAACCGCUUUCGCCUGUGACGAAGCGUGAGUGACGGUAAUGGGUAAAGAAGCACCGGCUAACUACGUGCCAGCAGCCGCGGUGAUACGUAGGGUGCGAGCGUUGUCCGGAUUUAUUGGGCGUAAAGGGCUCGUAGGUGGUUGAUCGCGUCGGAAGUGUAAUCUUGGGGCUUAACCCUGAGCGUGCUUUCGAUACGGGUUGACUUGAGGAAGGUAGGGGAGAAUGGAAUUCCUGGUGGAGCGGUGGAAUGCGCAGAUAUCAGGAGGAACACCAGUGGCGAAGGCGGUUCUCUGGGCCUUUCCUGACGCUGAGGAGCGAAAGCGUGGGGAGCGAACAGGCUUAGAUACCCUGGUAGUCCACGCUGUAAACGGUGGGUACUAGGUGUGGGGUCCAUUCCACGGGUUCCGUGCCGUAGCUAACGCUUUAAGUACCCCGCCUGGGGAGUACGGCCGCAAGGCUAAAACUCAAAGGAAUUGACGGGGCCCCGCACAAGCGGCGGAGCAUGCGGAUUAAUUCGAUGCAACGCGUAGAACCUUACCUGGGUUUGACAUGGAUCGGGAGCGCUCAGAGAUGGGUGUGCCUCUUUUGGGGUCGGUUCACAGGUGGUGCAUGGCUGUCGUCAGCUCGUGUCGUGAGAUGUUGGGUUAAGUCCCGCAACGAGCGCAACCCUUGUUCACUGUUGCCAGCACGUUAUGGUGGGGACUCAGUGGAGACCGCCGGGGUCAACUCGGAGGAAGGUGGGGAUGACGUCAAGUCAUCAUGCCCCUUAUGUCCAGGGCUUCACGCAUGCUACAAUGGCUGGUACAGAGAGUGGCGAGCCUGUGAGGGUGAGCGAAUCUCGGAAAGCCGGUCUCAGUUCGGAUUGGGGUCUGCAACUCGACCUCAUGAAGUCGGAGUCGCUAGUAAUCGCAGAUCAGCAACGCUGCGGUGAAUACGUUCCCGGGGCA